CCUACGGGAGGCAGCAGUGGGGAAUAUUGCACAAUGGGGGAAACCCUGAUGCAGCGACGCCGCGUGAGUGAAGAAGCGCCUCGGCGCGUAAAGCUCUGUCAGUAGGAACGACGAUGACGGUAUCUGAAGAAGAAGCCCUGGCUAACUACGUGCCAGCAGCCGCGGUAAUACGUAGGGGGAAAGCGCUAUCCGGAUUUACUGGGUGGAAAGGGAGCGUAGACGGCGGGGCAAGUCUGGAGUGAAAGGCCGGGGCCCAACCCGGGGACCGCGCGUGAAACGGACCGGCUGGAGGGCGGUAGAGGUGAGCGGAAUUCCUAGUGUAGCGGUGAAAUGCGUAGAUAUUAGGAGGAACACCAGCGGCGAAGGCGGCUUACUGGAACGUGACUGACGUUGAGGCUCGAAAGCGUGGGGAGCAAACAGGAUUAGAUACCCGGGUAGUC
rnacentral:rRNA from 1 species